rnacentral:rRNA from 1 species
GACGGAGGGUGCUAGCGUUGUUCGGAUUUACUGGGCGUAAAGGGCGCGUAGGCGGCCCUGUCAGUCGGGUGUGAAAGCCCGGGGCUCAACCCCGGAACGGCACCCGAGACGGCAGGGCUGGAGACCGGGAGAGGAGGGUGGAAUAGCCAGUGUAGAGGUGAAAUUCGUAGAUAUUGGCUGGAACACCGGUGGCGAAAGCGGCUCUCUGGCCCGGUUCUGACGCUGAGGCGCGAAAGCGUGGGGAGCAAACAGGAUUAGAUACCCUGGUAGUCCACGCCCUAAACGAUGUGUGCUGGGCGUCGGGGGGCUUGCCCCUCGGUGCCGGAGCUAACGCGGUAAGCACACCGCCUGGGGAGUACGGCCGCAAGGUUAAA